rnacentral:lncRNA from 1 species
UGCCAAUUUGCUAAUAUUUUUAGAACUUAUCCAGAACCAUGAAAUUGAACUAUUGAAGAAACAAAAUUGCCAGCUUUGUCCUUUUCUUGCAGCAGGCGGGCUGCACUGUGUCACUGUUUUCAGUUAUCCAACUAAUUUUGAUGUAAAAGGUAUUAGGAGGAACCUUUGGAGAUGCUGAUGGGGAAUUGGAGUAGAGAAGGUUGAGUACAAAAAACCAAUUCUUAUAGCAAUAAUUUGUAGAGAAGAUUAUCCUCAAUGAAUGACAUGAUCAUCUGAUUUUGACAUGAAAUCCAUAUAAAUUAGGUUUGGUAAUGAAGUUUUAACGAACAAAUAAGUUACAUGGUUUAAACAUCAUCAUCAGCUUUUUGUGUCAUCUUAAUUUGGUGGCAAAAAAAAAAAAAAAAAGCCUAGAUGUUCCUGCUCCUGGUUGGUUAUGGUUAUAAUCAAUACAGCUUUACUUGACAUUGAAACUACUGCAAUUUCAUUUGUUCAACUACCUCCUCCUGUUGAGUUUCUUAAAAAAAGUCUACAGCUUUUUUGAGGCUUGUAUUUGACAGUUUUGCUACAUUUUUAUUGCAGUCAUUCAUUCACCUAACACUUUUUCUCAACCACAAUGAAUAAUGUUUUCUCUAGUUUCCUUUAUCAGGGAAGUUGGAUCAGAGCCCCUUAUCCAACCCAGUUACCCAACAAUUAGAUUUUGAUUGUUGCGGUUGGGACCAUACCCCAGCCACCAAAGUUGUGGGUUGUGCCACUUGGAACAGGUCACAACCACCCUGGAUAAUUGGUUCAGUUCAAUCUCCAGGCCUUUAUAUUUCACCAAACUCUACCAUUUCUCUCCAUUUAUGAAGUCUUAUUGCGUGAAAGGGUGAAAGUGCGUUGGUAGGCAAACUCUUUGUGCUUGUUAAAGUCAUACAAAGUUCAAAAGCUGCAGUGAUGAUAACUGAUUACCAAUAAACUUUCAAUGAGUUCCUGAGCUCAAAAGGAAAAACUAAAACAAAUGAAAUAGCGUUGCUGUAAGGUUUGUUCUGAGUCUUGGACAUAAAACACCAAACAAGUCAUGACUCAUGAUUACCAACGGCACCUAUUGAAAUUCAGAAUUGGUCAGUUUGGGACACACCGGGUUUUUUCUAAGUUCAUUAAGUGAGAUAUUUAUGGCAACUUGAACUAUAAGAGAUUAAUAGUAGUACAGUAAUUAUUAAGAUGCGACAUAUGGAUAGAAUAAUUGGAGAAGUAUUUUCCAGACAAGCAAGUUCAAUUACUUCAACUAGUUAAGUUCAACUCAAAUCUCGAAGAGAUCUCGACUGACUUCUCACAAUGGUAAUAUACUAAUAAUUUCGUGAGAAGUACGAUUGCUUAACACACGAUCCUAAACCUUUAACUUCAGCUGACGAUGCAGGUUUCCCAUAUUAAAUUGUUUGAGGUUUUUCAAACUUUACAGACAGAAACCAACCAUGUUGCAGUGUUGCGAAAACAGAAUUACAAUCCUCUUCAUCGCUUCAACAAUUCCCCACUGUUUACAUCAAUAAAUGGAUCAAAUUAAUUAGCCUGGCUAAGACUAAGCAAAAAAAAAAUCAUGCUUAAUACACAUCAAAUUCAUUGACAAAUAUAUCACAUCACUUUGUUGAUAGAUUGUUGGACUCUUACUUCCAAUUAUCAUGUUCAAAUCCUAGCAGCCUCAACUUUAAAAAAAAAGAAAUCUUUGUGUGGGUCCAAGACCUAGAUCAAUUAUAGACAGCCUGUCAUUGUUGAUAAGAUGACAAAUACCGUGGUUACAUGGCAGGGUCUUCCACAUUUCAUGAACGAUCCUAGCUUUACAAUGAAACUGCAGAUGUUUUUGUUUAAGGAUAAGAAGGAACAUAAAUAUGCUUUAUCAUUCCAAGUCAUGCAUAAGAGUUUCCUUAUCUCUUUAUUUAUGAUUUUAUGAGAUUGACACCAUUAAUCCGCAUGGACUUGGACAUCAGAUACCAUAUCCAAAACUCUCUACUUUCGGCUGGCUCCGCAAGAAUCAUAUAUGAUCCUUUACAACAGUGACAAAUUUAAACUUUAUUUUCUUCUAUAUAUUCAUUAUCUGCAUCCUCUGAGUCCAAAUCAAUACUUCAAAAUGUUUAUCAGAUACUUAUUUGUUUCUAAUAAGUCAUGGAAAAAGGGAAAAGAUAAGUUGGAUAAAUUAGAAGCAAAUAAUCAACUUUUGAAUAUCCUGUUUAAUUUGAAAAUAACAAGAUAUGAGAAUUACAUUAUUGCAAUUCAAUGCUGAUGUUCACAGCUCAUAGAUGAGGGCAUCCAGUCAACAGUCAACAUUGCACUGCUUGCUUGAUUCUGUUUCCUAAUGUUGUUUGGUGGCUUUCACUGUCACGUCUCAGGUCAUUGCCAAUUGAUGAUAUAACAGUAGCACAACGUAGGUUAUCCUACAGAUAUAGUUCAGAAAUUUAUCAGCUAAUUACUUCAAACGUUGAAUAGAAGAUGUAGAGAUGCUUUUAAUGCUUUAAAACUCCUGCAGCAGUAAAUUCUAGAAGCUGUAAUAAUUAAUAACAACUUGCUCUUAUUUCUGACUUUGGUGGGGACCAAGUGCCCUUGAAAAUCAUUGGUUUCCGAUUUUUGGCAUAUUGGGUGCUUGCAUCUUGGAGGCAAAAACAUAUUACCAUUAAUUAUGAAAGUCUGGAAUCCAUCAAUUCAUGGCCUAAACUUUAGUUAAUCAAGGAACCGUUUUGUCAUUUAUGCAACAGCAGUUUUUUGGAUUUGGAAUUACCACAUGUUGAGUCUCAAAUGAGAUAAGGUUGCAACUUUGCAGAUGAGAGUUAAUGUUGAGGCAGGAUGAAGAUGAAUCAAAACCCUUAGUUUGCUGCCUGCUGGCAUCCUUUUUGGAAUGUCAGAAUUUGGUGUCGCCUCUAGGCUCUAACUUCAAUGCUGUUCCAGUCUUUCAUAUGGCCUAUUGAUAGAUUUGUUGUAGUUGUGGGCUAGUUGGGACCAUGAAUCUGGCCCAAUUAACUCAUUGG